rnacentral:lncRNA from 1 species
AAAGGAAAGUAAGAAAGGGAAAAAAAAAAAAAAAAGAAAAGUUCCCACGUGCAGGAUGCGAAACCCGACAAUCUCUGGAUUUCCCUCUCAAAUCUGGACCAAGUCAUGUCCAUGUGAAAUUAAAACCACCUUUGUGUCACAGUGUCACCCAGAACUGCUAACUAAUGAGACAAAACUGGAGAAAUCUCACUCACAUGUCCAUUAUUCCCAGGUAGACUUUCUUUUACCGGGAUGCUCUCAUUCUUGUGGCAAAGACAGCAAACGUUUCAAAGGAAAAUGCACAGAGCAAAGGGUUACAUGCUGGCAGAUACUGAAGGGACAUUGUGACAACUGCACUUUCUCCAACCAUAAGGUUUGUUGUUAAUAAUGUGUAGUUUCAUUUCAUAUUAUUACAUACCUUUUAAGCUAUUAAUAAAAGUGUGUACCAGUACUACUUGUUAGCA